GUGCUUGCUCAGGCAGCACAUAUAAUAAACUGGAAUCGAUACAGAGAAGAUUAGCAUGGCGCCUCGCGCAAGGAUGACAUGAAAAUUCGUGAAGCGGUUCUCAUUUUU
ensembl:snRNA U6 U6 spliceosomal RNA